rnacentral:rRNA from 1 species
AUUGAACGCUGGCGGCAGGCCUAACACAUGCAAGUCGAGCGAGCGGCGGACGGGUGAGUAAUGUCUGGGAAACUGCCUGAUGGAGGGGGAUAACUACUGGAAACGGUAGCUAAUACCGCAUACCAUCAGAUGUGCCCAGGUGGGAUUAGUUAGUAGGUGGGGUAACGGCUCACCUAGGCGACGAUCCCUAGCUGGUCUGAGAGGUUGACCAGCCACAAGGGAACUGAGACACGGGCCAGAGUCCUACGGGAGGCAGAAGAGGGGAAUAUGGCACAAUGGGCGCAAGCCUGAUUCAGCCAUGCCGCGUGUGUGAAGAAGGCCUCCGGGUUUUAAAGCACUUUCAGCGGGGAGGCGUUACCCGAAGAAGAAGCACCGGCUAACUACGUGCCAGCAGCCGCGGUAAUAC